UCUUUACAAUCCACUACUCCUAUGGUCCGCACUUUGUUCAACUUUUGCAAGGUUGUUGAAACAUUUUGGCCACUUUUCAAAAUUGCUAGAUGUCUAACAUUUUCAGAGAUGCCUUUGGUCCCUGCAGAGUCUACUAUCAAACUCUCACCUUGUCCGACUGAUUGUACAAGGUCAUGGAUGAGAUCAUGCAUAUCAAAUUCAUAGAAGAAAGCGUAAUCCUUAACAUUUUGAAAGAAAGAUCUGUCCCAUAACUCUUUGAAAUAUAGCUCGCCAACAUCUUCCAACUCCAUAUCCCCAUGUUCACGAGAUUCAAGGAUUCCAUGUGCCAUCCAAUUAUUGAUUAAUUCCCUGCUAUCAAAUUUAGUGUAAUUCUUUGGAAGAGUUGAACAGCAAACAAGGCAAUGCUUCAAAUGAGGGGGCAAUUGAGUAUAACUCAGUCUCAAAGCAGGUAGAAUGUGACCAGCUCCAUCUCGUUCUAAUUCCCAUAUCUCAGAAUCUCUAAUCAAUUUCCAUUGACGCUCAUCAGUCUUUGAGUAAAGUUGACUCCCUAAGGUUUUCACAGCUAAGGGAACCCCUCCGCACUUUCUUACAAUAUCUUUUCCCAUUUCAUACAG
rnacentral:sRNA from 1 species